UGGCGGUGGCUGUCUGUUUUUCCUGCCUUUUAAGUCCCGUGACUCAUACUCAGAGAUGCCAAGUUUUAUGGGUAGGUGGCACAUGCAAUUUCAGAGGACAACUUGGAUGGUAUCAGAAGCUCUCACCUCCAUCAAAGAAACUUCUUUUUGCAGCAGAUUGAGACUACUGCAGAGAUCUCUAGUCAACAUGAAGAGAAUAAGUGACGGUGGGAUGCCCAAUCGCCAGUUGAUUUGUUUGCACUAUAAACCUAAUCUUAGGGAAAAACCGCAGGAGAGGGUAUGGAAAAAUUUUACAACCUGAAGAUGAAGAUGCCUGUUUGCAAAAUACUUUUAGACUUAACAGUUUGUGAAAUCGCAACAAGAUGGUCACCCAAACACAGGCAUAAUGACCAUACAAGUCAACAUGCAAACCUGGAUGGGGCCAUUUCUAUAAGGUCUCACCCUUAGAUGAAAACCUACAGCCAAUCAAUGGUUUUUGAGAGAUGGAGAAUCAAUUUUCUCUAUGAAUAAGACACCUGACAGGUUAUCAAAUCCCAAGUGGUCAGUACUAAACGCAUGAACAAAAUAGGAAUACCAAAUAGACUGAAUAGGUUGUGUGUGUGUGUGUAACAAAACUAAAGAAGAGGUCUUGAAUUUGACAGGGUAUGGGGGGCACAGAGAGCGAGGAGAGAGUAUAGAGCACUGAAAAUUAUAUACAUACAGUAUUCAUGUAUGAAAUUCACAAAAAUUAAAAACUAAAAGAAUGCAAGGCUAUACAAAGAAGUCUCAAGAGAAAUCUUAUGUAAGAAUAACUUUUCAAUUACUUUUCUCUCCGGAUUUCCAAUGUAAUGGAUGGUUCCUACAACAGAAUCCUCAACAUCACUAGACAAGAUUUUCACCUGCUAUAGCUUGCAUAUUGGCAAAUAUAGCCUUUGUAAGCAUCAUCAUGAUGGAACUGACAAAAUGUUUCAUUUAUAUGUCUUCCUGCUGCCAAGAAUUGGAAUAUAUGCAUUUAUUCAGUAAAUUUUUUUUUUAUCUUAUGACCUGAACUAUAAACAAGAUUGUCAUACUGUUUAAGUGAAUACAUGAAGGAAGACAGUUGAUUAAGCAAGAAAUAGACAUGUUAGGCAAAAAUCCUGAGAACUCUCUGCCCUUGGAAAGACUCAAGAUACCUGUGGAGAUCCAGGAAUGAAACUGACUCUGGUCUUUUCUGGAACUUUCUAUAGUUCCAUAAAAGCCAAUAAGGAUCUGAGGCCAGCUUGGCCACAUUGCAAGCUGCAAGCCAUCCAAGGCUACAGAGUGAGACCAUGUCUCAAUAGCAACUCCAACAAAACCAAAGCCAACCAACCAACCAACCAACCAACCAACCAACCAACCCAAUAAGGGACUGCAAGGUGAGGCUUCCUUCCAUCAGAGCAGUGUGCAUAAAACAGAGCAGGGGGCUUCUUUCUGGGGCCUUGGUGUGGACAGUAGAAUGCCUUUGUACCAAACUAAUCUGGCAAGAUUUAAGAACAUCUCCCUUGAGGACAGGAGGUCCACAAGGAGAGCAAUAGAACCAAAAAAUUUGAGCACAGGGGUCUUUCCUGAGACUCAUACUCCAACCAAGUACCAUGCAUGGAGAUAACUUAGAACCCCUGCACAGAUGUGGCCCAUGGCAGUUCAGUGUCCAAGUGGGUUCCAUAGUAAUGGGAACAGGGACUGCUUCUGACAUGAACUUUGAUCACCUCCUCCUGAAGGGGGAGCAGCCUUACCAGGCCACAGAGGAAGACAGU